UACGUAGGGGGCAAGCGUUGUCCGGAAUCACUGGGCGUAAAGGGCGCGUAGGCGGCCUGAUAAGUAGGGGGUGAAAUCCUGCGGCUUAACCGCAGGGCUGCCUUCUAAACUGUCAGGCUGGAGCACAGUAGAGGCAGGUGGAAUUCCCGGUGUAGCGGUGGAAUGCGUAGAGAUCGGGAAGAACAUCAGUGGCGAAGGCGGCCUGCUGGGCUGUUGCUGACGCUGAGGCGCGACAGCGUGGGGAGCAAACAGG
rnacentral:rRNA from 1 species